UAGUUUGUUUCCCUUAUAUAUUGGAAUAGAAUCACCAUUCUAAACAAAUGAACAGUAAACCAGAAUUAUUGGACUUAUAUCUUGGCAAAAGUAAAAUUCCUUUGAGGUAGACUUCACCGGCUCAUUUCCUGCGAUGCUUUCUUGACCCUCGAGUUUGCCUGUCAAAUUCUUCAUUCCCAUCAUCAUGAAAUUUGAUAGGCAAAGGCUUAGUUCCAUGAUAGAGUAAAACCAGGCUCUCCUUGUAUGCAAACAGUUCUUUAUUAUCAGGAUUACCUUGGAAGUGAAGAUCUUGAAAUUCCUGGUUCCUAGGGUCAUAAAGAUAAAGAUCCCCCUCAGUCUAUUAGAAUAUCACCUCGCCAUUCUGCAUAAAGCAUUGAGGCCAACAAAUAUUGAAUGAGCAAUCAAUUUUAAACUGAUGGCACCAAAUCUUUCCUGAACAACCUUCACCCAUCAUCCAUAUAUGCCACCACUCCAGUGAAUCAUUUGCAAAUAAGUAAAGUGAAUCACGAAAGACUACUAAUGAUCCAGUUAAUGCACCAUCAUUAGAUCUAAAGAUUGGCAGUGAUAUUUCUUCAAAAAGAUAGUCAGUCAUUUGAAAGAUACAAUGAAGUCAUCAUACUCAAUUUCAUUAGCCCUUCGUGCAAGCCAAUAUGCAGAUCCAUCAAGAAAUGCCUUUGCGAUAUGACUGGUAAUAAAGUAUUUAGAGUUCAAUCUCAAUUUUUGUCCAAGAAUUUGUUUUCAAUGAGUAAAUUUCAACAACAGGCGGAAGUAUUGGGGUGUCUGUGAGCAUCCUUUCCUCAUGAUACAAAAUUCUGACCACCUUAUAUUCAUCCAAUUGAGGAACGUAGCCAAACUCAAAUACCAGGUGAUUAGAAACAUCUAGACGGGGGGGAACUACAAAGAUUCUUGAUUAUUUUUG
rnacentral:lncRNA from 1 species